UCCACUGUCAAGGGUGGUACUCGACAACCAAAGUCUGUGUGGUUUGUUGAGUGCAGCUGCAGAAGAUGUAUUUCCUUCCACUAAAGGCUGGCCCGCCAGCUAGGACUGCAUGGGCCAUGGAAGAAGCCUGGGACUCAGUGCUGCCACAACACUGCAGUCCUGUGCAGAGGUAGUCCAGGGCCUGAUCAGCUCUGGUCUCGUGGGGUUGGAAGGUGUGUGAGGGGAACCAGGGGUACCAGGUACCUGCAGCCUUAGCGCUUCACUGCCUGAGUAAUCUUGCAGCUGACCCUGCCUCCUCUGGGCUACCCACCCAGCUGUCCAGAAGAUGGAGGAGGAAAGAGAGGCACAGGGUCUGAAUGUUGUCACCUCCCUGGCCUGAUGGCACACUCUGUUAAACUGUGUGACCUUGCUUGCCCUAGUCUGGACCAUGGAUACUCGUCCACUGUGAUGUCAUGAGAGGUCCUGUCCCAUUAAACCUUGCUCCCUUACUGCCCACCCCAGUCUGUCCCACACCUGGGUUCUUUCUUGUACAGACAAGAACCUCUAUUCCAGCCAUUUCUGCUGACAUUUGCUGCUGCUCCACUUCACUGUGGUCUUUCAUCCCUCAGAUGAAUUCCCACAGUUAUGCAGGAUCCUCCCCCUGGCCUCGGGCUGGGGCCCCCUGCGUGCUACGUUGGGGCUGGCUUCAGCAGAUCCUCAGCACAGUGGCUUGACUCUGGAGCCAGCUCCACAGAGAAAACUAUUCCCUUUGCUUCCAGCCUUCCCCACACCUGGGUCAAUAGGUGCAAAGCAGUGAGAUGACCUCCAUGGCUGGAGCUGAGCCAAUUGGAAGCCAAGAGCCAGGAGUACAGGGUCCCAAAGCUUUGGGCCAUCUUCUGCUGCUUUCCCAAACCACAAGCAGGGAGCUUUUUGGGAAGUGGAGCAGACGAGACAUUAAUCAGCACCGAUAUGGGAUCCCAGCACUUGCAAGGCAGAGGGAGACACACAGAGAAAGGGGGAAAGAGAGGGACAGGAGUACUUUUGUUCACUGGCUCACACCUCAGGUGUCCUGAGGACCAGGAAGAACAGGAGCCCUUUAUUUGAGCCAAGGAUCUGUACUGCAC